UGGGGAAUUUUGCGCAAUGGGGGAAACCCUGACGCAGCAACGCCGCGUGAGUGAUGAAGGCCUUCGGGUCGUAAAGCUCUGUCUGUGGGGAAGAAGUGCAGGGGCGCUAAUAUCGCUUUUGCUUGACGGUACCCUCUAAGGAAGCACCCGCUAACUCCGUGCCAGCAGCCGCGGUAAUACGGAGGGGGCGAGCGGUGUUCGGAAUUAUUGGUGGUAAAGCGCGUGGAGGCGGUUUGGUAAGUCAGAUGUGAAAGCCCCGGGCUCAACCAGGGAAGCGGAUUGGAAACUGACAGGCUUGAAUACGGGAGAGGGUAGUGGAAUUCCUAGUGUAGGAGUGGAAUCCGUAGAUAUUAGGAGGGACACCGGUGGCGAAGGCGGCUACCUGGACCGAUAUUGACGCUGAGACGCGAAAGCGUGGGG
rnacentral:rRNA from 1 species